rnacentral:rRNA from 1 species
UACGUAGGUGGCAAGCGUUGUCCGGAUUUACUGGGCGUAAAGGGCGCGUAGGCGGCCAUCUAAGUCAGACGUGAAAUCCCUCGGCUCAACCGAGGAACUGCGUCUGAUACUGGAAGGCUUGAAUCCGGGAGAGGGAUGUGGAAUUCCAGGUGUAGCGGUGAAAUGCGUAGAUAUCUGGAGGAACACCGGUGGCGAAGGCGGUAUCCUGGACCGGUAUUGACGCUGAGGCGCGAAAGCUAGGGGAGCAAACGGG